UAACGGUAUGGUCUGCCCAGAUGUUUAAUUAUUUUAUUUUAUAUGCAUGAGGGUUUUGCUUACUUGUGUGUCUGUGCACACAGUGCAUGCCUAGACCCUGAGGAAGUCAGGAGAGGGCACAGUGGAACUUGGAAUUGGAGUCACAGUUGUGAGCCACCAAGUGGGUGCUGAGGAGUGAGCCUAAAACUCACCCUUCCCAUGGCUGGUUGGGGCCCUUUCAUCUUCCUCCCCUUUGCUCUGGUGCACCUGUUUGGGAUCACACCCCAUCCCUCCCUCCCACUGAGAAUUCCCAUUAAGCUAACCCUCCACUAUUUCACACCCCUCCUUAUCCCAAGCUGUGAGAGGUGGACAUAACUGGCACACCAGUGCCAACCCGUCUGGAAAAGGAAGCCUUGCUGGAGCAGGUCCCUGGCAUCUGACCAUUCUUUCACCAAAUGAUCUGUGGCUCAAAAUGUUUUCCAAAUACCAAGAAUUCACCCUGAAAGACUCUGGGCUGAAUUUCUGAUCACAGAUCCUGUGAUACAGAAGAACAUUGUCUGCCUCACUGUCUCCAGCCUGCAGCCCGCCUGAGGAUCUUCCCAACACCUCCAAGGCCUGAAGCAGAGCCUGAGGAACCUCCUGGGAACAUUUCCCUGGAUCCACCCCCAUCGCUGGCGAGACAGUUGGACAGCUUGUGUUUGCACAUUCGGCCCCCACAGCUAGGCUUCCUUAGGUCCACCCACUUCCCCCUCCUGCCUUAUAGUCCCUGGGAGUUCCCAGCCUAAUUGAGUCAGCAGAAGUGUGUGUGACUACAACUGGCCUACUCUUGUGCAACUUGGAACUUGGAACUCCUCCUGAGGUAGGGAGCCCCGGCUCUGAACAAGACUUUUCUGAAGCCUCAUACUGUUUAGCGAUGUGUUUCUAUACAUUUCUAUGGCCAGUGUCACAGUUCCCUGUGUAGGCCAGGCUCAGCGGACAGAAGAGAAGGCAAAAGGAAUGUAAGACGGAGACAGAGGAGCACCGUGAACAGCCAUCUUCUGAACAAGGCACAGAAGCUGCACUUAUGAGGUCACGACGACAGCUGUGGCUGCCUGCACAAGGUCUUCACAAAUCAGAGAGGCCCCACCCUUCACUGGGGCUCUAUUAUGGCUACGGGUGAAGAGAGUUGAUAUUCUUGGGGUGUGGCUGUUGGCAGGUUGCCCAUGCUUCACUGGAGGGCUGAGUACCUAU